rnacentral:rRNA from 1 species
UGGUAGUNCACGCCGUAAACGAUGAGUGCUAGGUGUUAGGCCCUUUCCGGGGCUUAGUGCCGGAGCUAACGCAAUAAGCACUCCGCCUGGGGAGUACGACCGCAAGGUUGAAACUCAAAGGAAUUGACGGGGGCCCGCACAAGCGGUGGAGCAUGUGGUUUAAUUCGAAGCAACGCGAAGAACCUUACCAGGUCUUGACAUCCCGAUGCUAUUCUUAGAGAUAGGAAGUUACUUCGGUACAUCGGAGACAGGUGGUGCAUGGUUGUCGUCAGCUCGUGUCGUGAGAUGUUGGGUUAAGUCCCGCAACGAGCGCAACCCUUAUUGUUAGUUGCCAUCAUUAAGUUGGGCACUCUAGCGAGACUGCCGGUAAUAAACCGGAGGAAGGUGGGGAUGACGUCAAAUCAUCAUGCCCCUUAUGACCUGGGCUACACACGUGCUACAAUGGUCGGUACAACGAGUUGCGAGCCGGUGACGGCAAGCUAAUCUCUGAAAGCCGAUCUCAGUUCGGAUUGGAGGCUGCAACUCGCCUCCAUGAAGUCGGAAUCGCUAGUAAUCGCGGAUCAGCACGCCGCGGUGAAUACGUUCCCGGGCCUUGUACACACCGCCCGUCACACCGCGAGAGUUUGUAACACCCGAAGUCGGUGAGGUANCCUUUUAGGG